rnacentral:rRNA from 1 species
GAUGAACGCUGGCGGCGUGCCUAAUACAUGCAAGUCGAACGAACAGACGAGGAUCUUGCUCCUCUGACGGUAGCGGCGGACGUGUGAGUAACACGUGGAUAACCUACCUAUAAGACUGGUAUAACUUCGGGAAACCGGAGCUAAUACGGGAUAAUAUAUUGAACCGCAGGGUUCAAUAGUGAAAGACGGUUUUGCUGGCACGUCUAGAUGGAUCCGCGCCUCAUUAGCGAGUUGGUAAGGUAACGGCUUACCAAGGCAACGAUGCGUAGCCGACCUGAGAGGGGGUACGGGCACAGUGGAACUGAGCCACGGUCCAGACUCCUACGGGAGGCCGCAGUAGGGAAUGUUCCGCAAUGGGCGAAAGCCUGACGGAGCAACGCCGCGUGAGUGAUGAAGGUCUUCGGAUCGUAAAACUGUGUUAUUAGGGAAGAACAAAUGUGUAAGUAACUAUGCACGUCUUGACGGUACCUAAUCAGAAGGCAACGGCUAACUACGUG